GGGUUGCUAGCUCAAUGGUAGAGCAGCUGACUCUUAAUCAGUAGGUUCGGGGUUCGAGUCCCUGGCAGCCCA
rnacentral:tRNA from 2 species